UACGUAGGGGGCGAGCGUUGUCCGAAGUUACUGGGCGUAAAGAGCUCGUAGGCGGUCUGUCACGUCUGCCGUGAAAACCCGAGGCUUAACCUCGUGGCUUGCGGUGGAUACGGGCAGACUAGAGGUAGGUAGGGGAGAACGGAAUUCCCGGUGUAGCGGUGAAAUGCGCAGAUAUCGGGAGGAACACCGGUGGCGAAGGCGGUUCUCUGGGCCGAUACUGACGCUGAGGAGCGAAAGCGUGGGGAGCGAACAGG
rnacentral:rRNA from 1 species